rnacentral:tRNA from 1 species
CCCGGGGGUUCUUUGUUGUCUAGACCGGUGAGUGAUCUGCGCACCACAUCCGCACCAUAAGGGCGCGGCUA